rnacentral:rRNA from 1 species
GAUGAACGCUAGCGGCAGGCCUAAUACAUGCAAGUCGAACGAGAUUGGAGGAGCUUGCUCUUCCAUGAAAGUGGCGCACGGGUGCGUAACGCGUAUGCAACCUACCUUCUUCAGGGGGAUAGCCUCUCGAAAGAGAGAUUAACACCGCAUAACAUUAUUGAGUGGCAUCAUUUAAUAAUCAAAUAUUUAUAGGAAGAAGAUGGGCAUGCGUGACAUUAGUUAGUUGGUGAGGUAACGGCUAACCAAGACUACGAUGUCUAGGGGAUCUGAGAGGAUGACCCCCCACACUGGUACUGAGACACGGACCAGACUCCUACGGGAGGCAGCAGUAAGGAAUAUUGGUCAAUGGGGGCAACCCUGAACCAGCCAUGCCGCGUGCAGGAAGACGGCCCUACGGGUUGUAAACUGCUUUUAUACCGGAAUAAUUCCCAGUACGUGUACUGGGUUGAAUGUACGGUAAGAAUAAGGAUCGGCUAACUCCGUGCCAGCCGCCGCGGUAAUAC